rnacentral:lncRNA from 1 species
AUGGAGGCUCACACAUACUGGGCUGCAACAUCAAGGUGGAGAAAGAUAUCUGUGAGGGGAGUGGAGCCUUCUCAGGCUCUGAGAUCUACCACAUGGUGUUUUACAUUCACACAAACCUGCAGAAGGAGGUGGAUGCCCUCAUGAAACACUACCACAUCAAAGGGGGUUUCAGUCGCUACCACAGAAAAUAUAAUUUUGCAAAUCCAAGA